rnacentral:sRNA from 1 species
CUUGGUCAUUUAGAGGAAGUAAAAGUCGUAACAAGGUCUCCGUUGGUGAACCAGCGGAGGGAUCAUUACCGAGUUUACAACUCCCAAACCCCCUGUGAACUUAUACCAUUUACUGUUGCUUCGGCGGGUCAUGGCCCCGGGGAAGGACAGCGGUCGCCGUCAGGCCUCAGCUGCCCGCCCCCGGAAACAGGCGCCCGCCGGGGAACUCAAACUCUUCUGUAUUUCUUUAUCUAAUAUAUACUGUCUGAGUAAAAACUAAAAUGAAUCAAAACUUUCAACAACGGAUCUCUUGGUUCUGGCAUCGAUGAAGAACGCAGCGAAAUGCGAUAAGUAAUGUGAAUUGCAGAAUUCAGUGAAUCAUCGAAUCUUUGAACGCACAUUGCGCCCGCCAGUAUUCUGGCGGGCAUGCCUGUUCGAGCGUCAUUUCAACCCUCAAGUCCCCUGUGGACUCGGUGUUGGGGACCGGCGAGACAGCCGCGGAUCUUCUUCCGCAGCGAGUCGCCGCCCCCCAAAUGACUUGGCGGCCUCGUCGCGGCCCUCCUCUGCGUAGUAUAGCACACCUCGCAACAGGAGCCCGGCGAAUGGCCACUGCCGUAAAACCCCCCAACUUUUUCAGAGUUGACCUCGAAUCAGGUAGGAAUACCCGCUGAACUUAAGCAUAUCAAUAAGCGGAGGAAAAGAAACCAACAGGGAUUGCCCCAGUAACGGCGAGUGAAGCGGCAACAGCUCAAAUUUGAAAUCUGGCCCCCAGGGUCCGAGUUGUAAUUUGCAGAGGAUGCUUUUGGCAAGGUGCCUUCCGAGUUCCCUGGAACGGGACGCCAUAGAGGGUGAGAGCCCCGUCUGGUUGGAUACCGAGCCUCUGUAAAGCUCCUUCGACGAGUCGAGUUGUUUGGGAAU